ACUGGGUGUGGUGGUGCACGCCUGUAAUCCCAGUGGCUUGGGAAGCUGAGACAGGAGGAUCAUGAGUUCAAAGCCAGCCUCAGCAACCGUGAGGCGCUACGCAACUCAGUGAGACCCUGUCUCUA
rnacentral:sRNA from 1 species